rnacentral:rRNA from 1 species
AGUGAACGCUGGUGGUAGGCCUAACACAUGCAAGUCAAACGGCAGCACAGUAAGAGCUUGCUCUUACGGGUGGCGAGUGGCGGACGGGUGAGGAAUACAUCGGAAUCUACUUUUUCGUGGGGGAUAACGUAGGGAAACUUACGCUAAUACCGCAUACGACCUACGGGUGAAAGCAGGGGAUCUUCGGACCUUGCGCGAUUGAAUGAGCCGAUGUCGGAUUAGCUAGUUGGCGGGGUAAAGGCCCACCAAGGCGACGAUCCGUAGCUGGUCUGAGAGGAUGAUCAGCCACACUGGAACUGAGACACGGUCCAGACUCCUACGGGAGGCAGCAGUGGGGAAUAUUGGACAAAGGGCGCAAGCCUGAUCCAGCCAUACCGCGUGGGUGAAGAAGGCCUUCGGGUUGUAAAGCCCUUUUGUUGGGAAAGAAAAGCAGCAGGUUAAUACCCCGCUGUUCUGACGGUACCCAAAGAAUAAGCACCGGCUAACUUCGUG